CCUACGGGAGGCAGCAGUGAGGAAUAUUGGACAAUGGAGGCAACUCUGAUCCAGCCAUGCCGCGUGCAGGAAGACUGCCCUAUGGGUUGUAAACUGCUUUUAUACAGGAAGAAACACUCGGACGUGUCCGAGCUUGACGGUACUGUAAGAAUAAGGAUCGGCUAACUCCGUGCCAGCAGCCGCGGUAAU
rnacentral:rRNA from 1 species